CCCUUAGACACUCUAGGCGGCACGCGAGCUACAAUGGGUGGAAGAACGUGUUACUGCCUCCGAAAGGAGGGGUGAAUCACGAAUUCUUGCCCGUGAAUGGGAUAGUUUGUUGCAAUUUUCGGACUUGAACUAGGAAUCCCUUGUAAACAUGCUCAAGAAUAGCGUGUUGAAUACGUCCCUGCCGUUUGUACACACCGCCCGUCGUUUCUUCCGACUGAUACUCAUUGUGAGUUGCAAGGACCCUUUAUUGGGAAAUUGCUGCAAAUGCUUUGUAUUGGAGGAAGAAAAAGUCGUAACA
rnacentral:rRNA from 1 species